GAUGAACGCUGGCGGCGUGCCUAAUACAUGCAAGUCGAGCGAACGGACGAGAAGCUUGCUUUUCUGAUGUUAGCGGCGGACGGGUGAGUAACACGUGGAUAACCUACCUAUAAGACUGGGAUAACUUCGGGAAACCGGAGCUAAUACCGGAUAAUAUUUUGAACCGCAUGGUUCAUAAGUGAAAGACGGUCUUGCUGUCACUUAUAGAUGGAUCCGCGCUGCAUUAGCUAGUUGGUAAGGUAACGGCUUACCAAGGCAACGAUGCAUAGCCGACCUGAGAGGGUGAUCGGCCACACUGGAACUGAGACACGGUCCAGACUCCUACGGGAGGCAGCAGUAGGGAAUCUUCCGCAAUGGGCGAAAGCCUGACGGAGCAACGCCGCGUGAGUGAUGAAGGUCUUCGGAUCGUAAAACUCUGUUAUUAGGGAAGAACAUAUGUGUAAGUAACUGCGCACAUCUUGACGGUACCUAAUCAGAAAGCCACGGCUAACUACGUG
rnacentral:rRNA from 1 species